rnacentral:rRNA from 1 species
AAUAGAUACCCUGGUAGUCCACGCCGUAAACGAUGAGUGCUAAGUGUUAGAGGGUUUCCGCCCUUUAGUGCUGCAGCAAACGCAUUAAGCACUCCGCCUGGGGAGUACGGCCGCAAGGCUGAAACUCAAAGGAAUUGACGGGGGCCCGCACAAGCGGUGGAGCAUGUGGUUUAAUUCGAAGCAACGCGAAGAACCUUACCAGGUCUUGACAUCUCCUGACAACCCUAGAGAUAGGGAGUUCCCCUUCGGGGGACAGGAUGACAGGUGGUGCAUGGUUGUCGUCAGCUCGUGUCGUGAGAUGUUGGGUUAAGUCCCGCAACGAGCGCAACCCUUGAUCUUAGUUGCCAGCAUUCAGUUGGGCACUCUAAGGUGACUGCCGGUGACAAACCGGAGGAAGGUGGGGAUGACGUCAAAUCAUCAUGCCCCUUAUGACCUGGGCUACACACGUGCUACAAUGGAUGGUACAAAGGGCUGCGAGACCGCGAGGUUAAGCGAAUCCCAUAAAACCAUUCUCAGUUCGGAUUGCAGG